CACGGAGGGGGCUAGCGUUGUUCGGAAUGACUGGGCGUAAAGCGCGCGUAGGCGGUUCGGUAAGUUGGAUGUGAAAGCCCGGGGCUCAACUCCGGAUGGGCGUGCAAGACUGCCGAACUUGAGACCGAGAGAGGAGAGUGGAAUUCCCAGUGUAGAGGUGAAAUUCGUAGAUAUUGGGAAGAACACCAGUGGCGAAGGCGGCUCUCUGGCUCGGUUCUGACGCUGAGGUGCGAAAGCGUGGGGAGCAAACAGG
rnacentral:rRNA from 1 species